CAUAGCAAGACCAAAGAGAGGAAACGAAAAACAAGAACCUUAGGUGGGAAAAUUCAAAGGAAAAUUGGUGGAUUUCAAGGAAUCAAGCAAUCAAAGGUGGUGAACCCUCUAACAAGAGUAAAGAGAUUGUGCCCGAAGAUCGAGAAUAAGAGUAUAUCAAACUCCUAGUACUGCAAGCAUCAGGAUAGUCUGUAAAUAGCUCAUUUCAUUGAGGACUACAAUUGGAUUGGCAUCCUCAAAAUAUGUAGGUUCGAUUCUUUUGAUACUUCUAGUCAUUCGUGGGCCCACGUGUCACUGUAAAUUAAUUUUUGUACUCUAGU
rnacentral:sRNA from 10 species